GACGUUUUUUUCGGAAACUAUUAAACUGGCGAACGGGUUAGUAACGCGUGCCUGCGUAUGAUUAGCUUGUUGGUAAGGUAAUGGCUUACCAAGGCCACGAUCAGUAGCUGGUUUGAGAGAACGAUCAGCCACACUGGGACUGAGACACGGCCCAGACUCCUCCGGGAGGCAGCAGUGAGGAAUUUUCCGCAAUGGGCGAAAGCCUGACGGAGCAAUACCGCGUGAGGGAUGAAGGAUUUUGGUCUGUAAACCUCUUUUCUCAAGAAAGAAGUUCUGACGGUACUUGAGGAAUAAGCAUCGGCUAACUCCGUGCCAGCAGCCGCGGUAAUACGGGGGAUGCAAGCGUUAUCCGGAAUUAUUGGGCGUAAAGCGCCUGUAGGUGGUUUACUAAGUCUGUUGUUAAAGACUAGGGCUUAACUCUAGAGAAGCAUUGGAAACUGGUAGGCUUGAGUUUGAUAGGGGUAGAGGGAAUUUCUAGUGUAGCGGUGAAAUGCGUAGAUAUUAGAAAGAACACCGGUGGCGAAGGCGCUCUACUGGAUCAUUACUGACACUCAGAGGCGAAAGCUAAAGUAGCAAAAGGGAUUAGAUACCCCCGUAGUCUUAGCCGUAAACGAUGGAUACUAGAUGUUGUAUUCUUAUACAGUGUCGUAGCUAACGCGUUAAGUAUCCCGCCUGGGGAGUACGCUCGCAAGGGUGAAACUCAAAGGAAUUGACGGGGGCCCGCACAAGCGGUGGAGCAUGUGGUUUAAUUCGAUGCAACGCGAAGAACCUUACCAAGGUUUGACAUACUACAAAUUUUUGUGAAAGCAAGAAAUGCCUUCGGGAAUGUAGAUACAGGUGGUGCAUGGCUGUCGUCAGCUCGUGUCGUGAGAUGUUGGGUUAAGUCCCGCAACGAGCGCAACCCUUGUUUUUAGUUGCUAACUUAGUUAGGUUAUCUAAAGAGACUGCCGGUGACAAACCGGAGGAAGGUGAGGAUGACGUCAAGUCAGCAUGCCCCUUAUACCUUGGGCUACACACGUGCUACAAUGGUUAAGACAAAGAGUUGCAAGCUUGUGAAAGUUAGCUAAUCUCAUAAACUUGGCCUAAGUUCGGAUUGUAGGCUGCAACUCGCCUACAUGAAGUCGGAAUCGCUAGUAAUCGCUGGUCAGCCAUACAGCGGUGAAUCCGUUCCCGGGCCUUGUACACACCGCCCGUCACACCAUGGGAGCUGGUCAUACCCGAAACCGUUUGCUUAA
rnacentral:rRNA from 1 species